rnacentral:rRNA from 1 species
GUGUAGGUAAAUCCGCACUUGUUAUGCUGAGACGUGAUGCGUAGCCUUAAUUGGUGAAGUUGGUGAUCCCGUGCUGUCGAGAAAAGCCUCUAGCGAUGUAUAUACUCGGCCCGUACCCCAAACCGACACAGGUAGUCAGGUUGAAAAUACUAAGGCGUUCGGGUGAACUGUGGUUAAGGAACUCGGCAAAAUGCCCCCGUAACUUCGGGAGAAGGGGGACCCUAUGGCGUGAACACCCAUUUGCGGUGGGAAGCGUUGUGGGGUCGCAGAGAAUAGAGGGAAGCGACUGUUUAUCAAAAACACAGGUCCAUGCGAAGACGUUAAGUUGAUGUAUAUGGACUGACGCCUGCCCGGUGCUGGAAGGUUAAGAGGACCGGUUAAUCAAGCUUUGCUUGGUGAAGCUGAGAAUUUAAGCCCCAGUAAACGGCGGUGGUAACUAUAACCAUCCUAAGGUAGCGAAAUUCCUUGUCGGGUAAGUUCCGACCUGCACGAAUGGCGUAACGACUUCCCUGCUGUCUCAACCACAGGCCCGGUGAAAUUGCACUACGAGUAAAGAUGCUCGUUACGCGCGGCAGGACGAAAAGACCCCGGGACCUUCACUAUAGCUUGGUAUUGGUGUUCGGUUCGGUUUGUGUA